rnacentral:tmRNA from 2 species
GGGGUUAAUCUUGGUUUCUAUCGGGAGAAUCGCUCGGGUUGUACGCUAUCAGGGAGAUGUUUGUGACUUCCUCAAUCAACAUAAACAAAGAUAAAUGCAAAAAAUAGAAUUGCAGGUGGUUUAGCUUCUUUUAAAAAAGUGUUAAAUCCAACUUUAGUUAUUGCCUAAGCAUUAACUAGUAGCCUUCGCUAAGUCGAUGAGCACCGUUUGGUCUGCUACACACUCUACAGAUAUCCCCACUCUUGGAGCUCUGCAGACUUAUAAAUAAGAGUUUUUACAGAAACGGUUUUGAUUUAGUCUUGUUUCUAUAAAAUACCAACAGAUUAGAUUAUUUUGAAAGUUUUUUGUUUGUUUUCUAUUUUCACGAUUAUUAAAACAAAAUAUGAUAGUAGAAGUGCUUCUUUAGCCUCUCGAGACGUCGGUUCGAAUCCGUCUAGCUCCACCA